ACUAAGCUGAGUGCUGUAAUUCCCUUCAGUUUCUACUAAGGUUCCUUCCAGAGAUCCUUUCUGUUAAUUGGAGAAAUACACAUAAGCUGGUUAAAGAUUGCAAACAGCUCCAGCCCCCAGGCACAGCUCUUUUAACUGAAAGAGGAAGCCAAACAAAGCUUCAAGGAACGUGUAUGAACAAAACCAAUAGUAUUCCAUUUCAUUUGAACCUGUCAGAACUGGCUGAAUACCACCUCUGGGAACAACCCUUCCUCCAGCACCACUCAGGUCUUGCUA